ensembl:lncRNA
AUUUUAUUCUCUUAUUCAAAAUCAGAAAAACUUAAUGAAAUCUUUUUUAAGCUCUCAUAAAUGCACACUUGAGAAAUGUAAAAGAAGUGUUAGAAAAUUGUCUAAUAUUACGCUAGUGGGGAAAAAAAAAAGAGACCUGUAUGAAAAAAAAAAAAUUCUCCACUCCAAUGGAAGAAGGUUUAAGAAGCACAAUGAAAAAAAUGUAAAUUGGUCCUAAAGAAAGAAAAUCAAAGCUGAUACAAUGGAGUUUCCUACCAUGAAGAACUUUAUUAACUAUAGUAAUGAAAUAGUACUUAGAAGUGGAAUUUUCAUUAAAAAAAAUCAUAAUUAUUGGUCAGCUCUGUUUCCCUUAAGUUUCAAGAUUCAUAGGAAGAAUAGUUCUCUUAAAAUUGCAGUUAAGCAUCUAAAUAAAGCAAUAUUUCAUUCUGUAACAUUCACAAAAUCUUUACAGAACUGAUGUCUGUAAGUGUAUAGAGCUGCUCAGCAUCUAUAUUUUCUGUAAGUAAUAUUCCUUAUGUAGUAAUAUGUCAUUAAAUACAUGCUGAACAACUCAUACUUUCAAAACACCAUGAAAAGUAUCAAUUAACACUCUAAGCCCAAUGUAAUUCACAGAUUAAUUUCACAACCCUGUGUCUGGGUCCUGAAAGUAUUGCCUAUACUUAGCUGUCAAUUAGAGAUUGAAGCAACUUAAAUUAUCCCUGUUUGAGGUUUGGUUUUGAUUCCAUAGUUAAUUUCAAAAAUUACACACGUUAUUAUUAUAAUAGAAUGAGUCAUCUGCUAAUUAUUUUUGACAUCUAUGAUAAUAAAAAUAUACAAAUGUUCCAGUUAUUAAUAGAAUUGGCCUAUCUUUAUGCAACUCAAAUUGCCAUGAUUGUUGGACAAAUUGGCAUCAACUCACUCUUUCGUCUUUGAAAUGGUGCAGCACCUUUUGUAUCUAAGUUUUGUGAAGAUAUACAACCUAUAAGUCUCUUUACAUAACUCCAGAUAACCAGGGUUUAACCCACUUUACUUUAAAGUCUUUCACCAAAAUGCAUGACUACACACGCUAUCAAAUAUAAUCUUCGACCGACCACAUGCUGUGUAAGGGUACCAGUGAAAUACUUCAUAAACAGACAGAAUGCAAACAUGCACAAACACACUAACCACUAAUUCCAUAAACAACUUCAAGCACAGUACAAACAAAAUGCAUGCCAAGAAACCUGCUUGAAAAUGUGUAUUAUAGAAAAAUACACUUUCAAUUUCUGAAUGUUAUUUGACUACUUAUUACACAAAACCAAAACUAUGCAGUCUAUGAUGGCCCUUUAAUUAAACUUCUGCCAAGUUCCAGAGACUGUUUAUUAUUCCUUGUUCCUGGAUAUGUUACGCAUAAUAUUAAAAGUACCUCUUCUUUUUCUCCAUGAUGUCACCUAAUAAAAUCAGGGAAUAUAUACACACUAUAUGCAGAUCACAUUGAAAAAACCCAGUAAUUAUGGGGCAGAAUUUGGGUACUCAGCAAACAUAACAAUCUUAUAAAUCACGAAACUUAUUUACACUUGAUAAAAAUCCACAUAUGCACCACCACUUUGAACGUAGGUACAUUCACUUCUAUAGAGAAUUUAAAUAAUAAGAGUUUUUUCCUUAUUGGACUGAUUACAGUGCAAUCAUGUCAAGACCACUUAAAGCCUCACAAUGGCAUUAUAAAGUACCCAACAUGGAAAGGGGCUGCCAAGUGAAACCCUAAGCCCACACUUCGCAGGUAGACCUGGUGCAGACAAAUCUGAAUUGCAUUAUGUUAGUGGAAAAAAAGAGAAGGUUGCUAUUAAAUAGAAAAUAAGAGAAAAAAAUCAGAGCCAAGAACCCAUCCCUCAGGACCUGGGCAUCAGUUCAGUCUGUGUGCUGGUAUUUAGUCUGAGGUUCCUCCCCUCCUAUCUGUUCUGGGGGAGAUUGUGAGUUAGGACCAAUUUUACACCCAGUUUAAGAGAGAAGUGACAAAAGAUAUAAUUUAAUGAAAAUUACUCCCAGAUUCUUCCUAUAUAUUUUUAUUACUGAUAAGAAAAACAGCAACAGUGUUGUGACAUGCUGUGCUUCAUGUUUACUGAAUGGCCAAACAUGCAACAACCAACUCUUCUAGUCUUUUCCUUGCUGGAUCUCUGACUUUGGUUAUUUUGAUUCUUAAACAGGUGUUUAUGUUCAAAAAACCUGCAUGAAUAUUGUGAUCUCCAGUCCUUUGAAAAAUUCUCUAAUGCUGACCAAAAGUUUACAGGGAAGACUGUGGCAGAAGAGGGAAGAUAAAAAGAUGGUUUUGUUUGUUAAGGCUAAAUGCACUCUUACAAUGCCUAGCCAAGCACAGAACAUCCAGGGUAGAGUUCACUGAGAAUCAAAAGCAAAGAGAAUGAGCUGAUUGGUAAGAGGUCCUGAAGGGACAGGGUGAGUCCAGGUACAACACAAAUGCGAGCACUGGUUGUAGGGCUAAUCAAUGGUUACAAAGAAAUACUGGGGUAAAUCUUUCAGGGCAUAUCUAAGCUGCCAUUCCAAGGAACAUAGGUUUAAGAACCACAAUGAAAAAAGUAAAUGGUCUCAAGUGAGCUAGAAUUAGAAAAUUACUAAAUUAAACCAAACAAGUUUCACUGAUGACUAAAAAGAUCACAGUGUGGGCACUGUUUAUUUUUUCUCAUGAUUCAUACUGAGGAAAUUUAACCAGUUGUCCAUCCAGGCAGAAGAAGUCACUAUCCCUGUGGCAGAGAGAGGAUGUUCACUCCCCAGAUGCUGCUGUUUGUAACUCAGCAUAAUAAAAUAAAUGAAAUUAGUGGACUUGCAAAGUUGCACAGAAUUUCACAUACCAGACUGGCUGAAAGGGGAUACCUCGUCUCUUCAUCCAUACUGCCCAGUAAGAAGAAUUAUCCCCAGAACAGUUAUCAUUUAAAUUCACAAAUACCAUGAAUCUUCAUUACCAAAUCGCACUGAUUAAACUAAUGAAAUUCUAAAUUCAUUUAAAUUGGUAUAACUUUUGCACAACAGCUCAGUGUUCAAAAAAGAGCUAUGUCUAAUUAAUUUAUUGUUCUCUAUUUUUACGACUUGUUUAAUUUAAAACUCAAUAAACACUAAGUGAAGACCUUUUCUGAAUUUUCAUUAAAAAGUAAUUUCAUGCCAGAAACAUGUUUCUGAAUACUCAUCAGGAUUAGGAAGUGUAUCAGGUGAAGGUGGCAAACCUUCAAUAUCCUUGAUAUUUUAGAAUUUAGGGAAAAACACACAUCCACACAAAAAUUUAAUCAGGUGGGCAUAUAAAGAAGUGGAAAUUCCUAUGUUUUUUUUCAGGACUUUCCCUAAAUCAAUAUUAAAUAAGAAGAUACUAGUUAUUUAUCUUUUAUUUACCCUUCAGAACUUGCCUAUACACAGCUUUAAAUGUUCUCCUCUAUAAUCUGUGCAUCCAUAUCAUUCAUGUGUCUUUUACCUGGUGACUGUCUCUGAAGAAUACUAUACUGAUUAAGGUAAUUCAGUCUGCCUGCCCAUGCUCAGCACAAGCAAGGAGUUUUCAAUUUUUCACUCUGACUAAUAAUCAGCUUGGGACAAUCAACAGCACUGCAUUUUUUCAAACUGAAAUCUGAUAAUUUGCUACCUAGUACAAAGUGAAACACUAUACUUUUGUAAGUUUAAGAAGGACUUUAUCCUCUUGGUAGUAGAAAUCUGGCACAUGAGUUUUGUGGUUUUUUUCUUCCUCAGACAUAAGGAAGUUGCUAGAGAUAUGGUUAUUACAUUCUUUGGUUUUCUUAAGUGGUUAGUUACUUGCCUAAAUUCUUUUGUAGCAACCAAUAUUCUCUUGAUGCAGCAAAAUGACUUUUGUUUAAAUUUUAAAAAAUUAAAAAUUUAAAGCUCUGGCUUUGGCAUGGGUGAGUAUUAUUUGCCCAAAGCCAUACUUGAUUUGGAAAGCUUUGGCUGUGGUGGUGCAACUCCCUUGACACAAAUUCAGGCUUUAGGUCAGUAGGGAAUAUUCAAGUCCCUUCCUGACAACUGAGCAUGACUGGGGGAUUAAAGAUACCAGGUGACCUGACGUCUCCGGAGGUUGGCUACUGAAAAGUUGUAGCCAGAAGCCUUUUAACCCAUAUACCUGUCUGUGUGUUUAUUAAUGUCAUCAGUAGUGGAAAACGUAGUAUAAAGUUUAAAAAAAUAAUGUUCUAUUUUUUUAAACUGGAUUUAUAAAGUCCAAAUGUUUACUUAAACAUUUUGGUACUGGGGCCUCUAGGAUAUGUUGGCAGUGGAAAAACUAACCUACACCAGAUGGCAGAGGUUAAAGAAAUACUAUAAAAUAUGGCUUCUAUUCAUACGGUUCUCAGACAAACAGAACCCCAAGCAGAAAAAAACUGUGAAAGUGGAAAACCUUUUCAUUUGCUUACAUUUCUCUUUGCUACUCAGCAAACCUGAGAGGUAUUGUAUCAUCACGUAUCAAGGAAGUAAUAUGCCAGAUUGUUGUAACAGGUGGAAUAUGUUUGUUUGUAACACGUUGAAUCUGAAAUAAAGAAAGGACCAAAGUUACUAAAGGCUUUUACAAAAACAUUUACAAAAUGCAAGUACCUCAGUUUCGUACCUUCAAUGCUUACUGCCUAAGUCACAAUUUGAGACAAUAGCUGCAUUUUUGCACACAACAUAUAAAAAUUAUACUCUCAAAUUUUCAUACAUUCAGUUAAUUUGGCUAGAUGAACAUAUAAGCUAAGGAGGUAAUUCUGCACUAGCAUUUUUAAUUAAACAUUUCACAAGAUAAUGCAUUUUUAUGUAUAUUUUAUUCUAUUUUACUUAAAUUAUAUAAUCUCUAAAUUGCAUCCUUAUUUUUUUGUUUCUAAAGCUUCUUAAAAUCACAACUGGUUUGUAAUUUCAAUGUAUUUACAUAGCAUUUCAUUAAUCUAUCAUGUCUAUAAAAUAAAUGCACUCUUAUAAUAGAAAUACUUCUUGUACAAUUUUUGUCAGUUCAGAUAAUCCACUGUGAACCCAAAUCUGUACAGCAAAAUGUGUGAUAUAACCCAUUUUCCUAUUACAUAUGUAGUCAUAUGAUGUUUUAAAAAAAGAGAGGAAAAAAAAAAUGAUGUGAACUUGGGCACAAUGGACCAUGCUGUCAAAAAUAUUCAGUUGUCAAAAAUGCAGAUGGCAUAAAAACACAGAAACAGAUCAGUUAUUGGAGGGGGGGGCAGUUUAAUAGAAACUAUUGCAUUGAUUUUUUAAAUUGAUUAUGUGCUUAAAUAUGUGAGUGGGUAUCCAGUAAGGUCUUCAAGCAUACCUUGAGGAGGAAAAAGCUCCCUGAUGACUUGUCCUUUUCCCGUAAAAAAAAAAAAAAAAAAAAAAAAAAAAAAA